GAACGAGACCCUCUUGUCUGGAAGGAGUGUUGGUGGUGCAUAUCGAUUCGUAUGCAGACAGUAUCCAACAUUCUUUUUUUGAUGAAAAUAGUAAUUAGUUGUUUAAUGCAGCAAAAGGAAAAAAAUACUUUAUUAGAUUUCACCAUUGAAGCAAAACUAGAAGUAUUCCAGUUGUCUUUUAACUUUGGAAGCUAAUAUAUAAAGAAACAUAGAAGUUUUCUUUCCCCAGUGUGUGUGCCUCUAUUCACCUAGACAGAGUUGUGAACCUGAACGAUUCUCACCUGUGAGGGGAAGGAACAAGUAAAAAUCAGUUUGUUUUGAAGAAAAGGAAAGAGUGAGAAGUAGUUCCUUGGUGCAGUGACUACUAAAAGCUGCCUUCUCCAACUUCCUCUGCUCCUGAGCUCUGCACGUAAAGCUCAAUCAUCAAAAAGAAGACAUUCUUCAACGCUAAAGCACAAUAAAAGAAAAAUUCAUGGUGUUCUCA